GUCCUGUUUCACUGCAGCACAGCACACCGGCUUACUUUCACCUUUGGUUAUCUCCCGUGCUGCCUGCUGCUCUGCCUAAGAACAGCCUUUCCUCUGGCUAUUUCCUUCUCUCGAGGUCAUUCUCCCUAUCUGUUUUGCUCACAACAUGUUCUCUAGUCACCGUAUGCUAAGAGGCCGGAUCCUCCUCUCCUUGUCCAUGUUCUUUGUGCUGCCAAAAAGCUGCCCUUACUGUUUUGCCGGGGAUUCAUCUGGUGCUGGGGAAUUCUUGGAUAUUGUUAGGCCACCUUUAUUGCGGGGGUAUCUGAAUGCUUUGAUGCAUUGAGUAGUCUCUUGCUUUGCUGAAGGCAGUAUGGCACUGCCCCCUCUUCCUUUCCCACUGCUAGGAAAAGUUAUCUGGCCUUCCUGUGAUGUUACAGAGCUCGUGUGGUGUGCAUGCAAGAGUCCCACGGAGAAUGUGGGUCAAAGUAGCUUUUGUACUUUGCUUGUGCUUAUGGCUAUCCAGGGGUUAUGGUCUGAUAAGUGACCCUGUAAAAAUGACCAAUAGAUUUCUUAUAUUGUUCUUUCUUAACAAUUUUCAAGCCCAGUUUGUUCACCUUGUAAAUAAAAAUAUGUUUUCUACCUUCUAGUGGUUCAUUUGGAAUCUGAGAGUCAAGGUGCAUUUUGCCUGUGGCUUAGAUCUGUUCCACUAAUAAAUAUUCGGCAGUUACAACUCUACACUAAGAAUUCUGUUGAUAGUGCAUGAAGCAGCUGGAUUUCAAGCUGUGUUGGCUGUGGAAGGAUAUCACAAAAUCUUACUUGAUUCAGUAAGAUUUUACAACAGCUGCUGUAAUAAUCUGGCCUUCAUAGAGAGUGCCCACAAUGUUCAACAGAAAAAUUCUGAUUUCAGAUCUCUAGUGCUGAUCCGUGACUAAUAAUAUUAAAGCCAUACAUUCUCUCUGGUGAGUAAUGUCGUGCUGUUAUCUUAACACUGAAUGAACUGUAAGGCUCCCUGCAUUUCAGAAUGUAUUGGACCUCUCAUGCCAGGAAACUCUGGAACCUCACAAGAUUUGAAGAUGACAGAGAGCACAGAAAAAGGCAAGACUGUAAAAUCUUGAGAUCUGGAGGUGUAGGUAUCUAGCAAAGGUUUGGGGAGAGAAAAGGGUAAUACUUAUCAUAGUUAUGAAACCUAAGAAAAGGCUUUAAUAUUUGUGCAGAGGUUCAGACUUUCUUCUUUUCCUCCCACUCAGUUUGGCCAUCCGUGUGUUUUACUAAGGGCUGGUGUAAUGGUUGAGAAAAGGGGUGACAUGCCAGGAAUGUGUGGCCAAUGAGGGUUUGAGCAGUUUUGUUUCUGACUGUAAUUAUGCCCCUCUGGGAAACCUCAUUUGUUGUAGUCAAAUCAAGACAUUCCCACUCAUUUCAUGCCCCAAUAGUGCAAACAGCUUCAGUGUUUUAAAGAAGGGACUACAGGAAGAAUCUCUGUAAAUUAAUCAAUUUAAUACUCAUGGCUACGAGGCAGGUCUUAUCUCCAUUUUUGUAAAGAAAGAAAAUGAGACUCAGAGAAAUUAAAGAGCAUAAUUAUUACUCCUUUAUGCUAGUGUAAAAAUGUAGUGGAGUUAAUCUUAACUGACUUCAGGGAAGUUACUUCUAAUUUAUACCAGUUUAAGAUUGAGCAGCAUUGACCCUAAGUGACUUACCAAAUAACUAUGCAGCAAUCAGUGGCACAGCUAGUUCUUGAAUUCUAACACUCACUUCCACAUCUAUACUCUGUCAUUAGGCCUUUACUCAUCAUAUAAAACAGUAGACUUAACAUGAGCUUCUAGAUAGGUAUCCUGAGUUCUUGAACUGGGUAUGUCAGUGUAUGCAGGCAGAUUAAUAAGGCUUCCUUUUUAUAGGAGUUCAGUUUCAUAAAGUUGAAAUCUCUAGGACCUACAGAUCUGCACAUAAGUGUCCAUUCAUUACUCAAGGCUUAAACCAGAGUGAUGACUGGAGAGAGAUCAGUUCUACCCUCUGUAUAGCAGUAUAAACAGAUUGCAGUGAUAGAAUUUAAAGCCUACCAUAUAAGCAGCAUAUCUCUUUCCUGCUGGGCGACAGAAUGACGACAUCAUGCUCUCUAGCUGUGAAAGCAGCCAGAGAGAGGGAAGGCUGGCAAGUGUAGUAAGCAUGGGGCGCAGCCCUCUAGUCUGCACUGAAGGGCACAUGUCGGCUACGUCUACAGUGGCAUGAUUUUCCAGAAAUGCUUUUAACGGAAAAGUUUUCUGUUAAAAGCAUUUUCA